AUUACCGAGUGAGGGCCCUCUGGGUCCAACCUCCCACCCGUGUUUAUUUACCUUAUUGCUUCGGCGGGCCCGCCUUCACUGGCCGCCGGGGGGCUCACGCCCCCGGGCCCGCGCCCGCCGAAGACACCCCGAACUCUGUCUGAAGAAUGAAGUCUGAGUGAAAAUAUAAAUUAUUUAAAACUUUCAACAACGGAUCUCUUGGUUCCGGCAUCGAUGAAGAACGCAGCGAAAUGCGAUACGUAAUGUGAAUUGCAAAUUCAGUGAAUCAUCGAGUCUUUGAACGCACAUUGCGCCCCCUGGUAUUCCGGGGGGCAUGCCUGUCCGAGCGUCAUUGCUGCCCUCAAGCCCGGCUUGUGUGUUGGGCCUCGUCCUCCGAUUCCGGGGGACGGGCCCGAAAGGCAGCGGCGGCACCGCGUCCGGUCCUCGAGCGUAUGGGGCUCUGUCACCCGCUCUGUAGGCCCGGCCGGCGCUUGCCGAUCAACCCAAAUUUUUAUCCAGGUUGGACUCGGAUCAGGUAGGGAUAACCGCUGAACUUUACGCA
rnacentral:rRNA from 1 species